AGAGAGAGACAUGCGCGCAUAUCAAUAAGCGGAGGAAAAGAAACUAACUAGGAUUCCCCUUAGUAACGGACGAGUGAAGCGGGAAGAGCUCAAAUUUGAAAUCUUAAAGGGUUUCCCUUUACGAAUUGUAGUUUAAAGAAGUGUUUUCUGUUGAGGUUUUGGUAAAAGUUCUUUGGAAUAGGACAUCAUAGAGGGUGAGAAUCCCGUAUUUGACCGUUACUUUUCAGCCUUGUGAUACACUUUCAAAGAGUCGGAUUGUUUGGGAAUGCAGUCCAAAAUGGGUGGUAAAUUUCAUCUAAAGCUAAAUAUUGGCGAGAGACCGAUAGCGAACAAGUACCGUGAGGGAAAGAUGAAAAGAACUUUGAAAAGAGAGUUAAACAGUACGUGAAAUUGUCAAAAGGGAAGCGUUUGACACCAGUGUUGUUUUUCUGAAAAUCAAUUAAAGAACUGUUUAUGCUAAGUUGUUUAGACUUUAUCAGCUAACUGUUUAGUUUUGAGCUUUUCUUUAAUGCACUUUUCAGUUAACAAGUCAACAUCAAUUUCUUUUGCUGUAAAAAAGCUUGAGGAAGGUGGCUUGAGAUUCGUCUUAAGUGUUUAUAGCCUCUUGCCUAUGCAGUCGGAGAGAUUGAGGUCUGCAGCGUGGAUCCUUCGGGGCUAAAUGCAUUUGUGCUAAGUUAUAGCAUUUUAUAGACAACUUGUUGACUAUGAUUUGUCUUGUAGCUUACUCGCUUAUGUUAUUUUACCUACGCUUAGGAUGUUGAGCGCAUGUCUCUCUCU
rnacentral:rRNA from 1 species